UUCCUAUGAUGAACAAAACUUCACACCAUCUUUCGACUGUACAAUCGUUGAUGUUAUAUAAGUUUCACUGAUAGUUUUU
rnacentral:snoRNA from 2 species